rnacentral:rRNA from 1 species
AGUGAACGCUGGCGGCAGGCCUAAUACAUGCAAGUCGAACGGCAGCACAGUGGAGCUUGCUCCAUGGGUGGCGAGUGGCGGACGGGUGAGGAAUACAUGGGAAUCUGCCCAGUCGUGGGGGAUAACGUAGGGAAACUUACGCUAAUACCGCAUGCGCCCUUCGGGGGAAAGCCGGGGACCUUCGGGCCUGGCGCGAUUGGAUGAGCCCAUGUUCGAUUAGCUAGUUGGCGGGGUAAAGGCCCACCAAGGCGACGAUCGAUAGCUGGUCUGAGAGGAUGAUCAGCCACACUGGGACUGAGACACGUCCCAGACUCCUACGGGAGGCAGCAGUAGGGAAUAUUGGACAAUGGGCGCAAGCCUGAUCCAGCCAUGCCGCGUGAGUGAAGAAGGCCCUCGGGUUGUAAAGCUCUUUUGUCCGGGAAGAAAAGCAUCGGGCUAAUACCUCGGUGUUCUGACGGUACCGGAAGAAUAAGCACCGGCUAACUUCGUG